UUUAACUGAGCGUUCAGUUACUUGACGUAGACCCGAAACCGGGCGACCUACCCAUGAGCAGGAUGAAGCGAAAGUAAAAUUUCGUGGAGGUCCGAACCCACGAGCGUUGAAAAGCUCGGGGAUGACUUGUGGGUAGCGGUGAAAUUCCAAUCGAGCCCGGAGAUAGCUGGUUCUCCCCGAAAUAGCUUUAGGGCUAGCCUCAAGGUGAGAGAUACGGAGGUAGAGCACUGAAUGUCCUAGGGGGUAUUGCACCUACCGAAGACUAUCAAACUCCGAAUGCCGUCAUCUUAUACUUGGGAGUCAGACUGUGGGUGAUAAGAUUCAUAGUCGAAAGGGCAACAGCCCAGAUCGUCAGCUAAGGUCCCUAAAUGUAAGUUAAGUGGUAAAGGAUGUGGGAUUGCACAGACAACCAGGAUGUUGGCUUAGAAGCAGCCACUCAUUCAAAGAGUGCGUAAUAGCUCACUGGUCGAGUGAUCCUGCGCCGAAGAUUUCCGGGGCUAAAACUUACUACCGAAGCUACGGCAUCAGUAAUGAUGGGUAGGGGAGCUUCCCAUACGGGUUGAAGCAUGACCGUAAGGACAUGUGGACAGUAUGGGAGUGAGAAUGUUGGCAUGAGUAGCGAGAUGUGGGUGAGAAUCCCACAGGCCGUAAACCCAAGGUUUCCAGGGGAAGGUUCGUCCGCCCUGGGUUAGUCGGGACCUAAGCUGAGGCCGAAAGGCGUAGGUGAUGGACAACAGGUUGAUAUUCCUGUACUACCGAUAACCGUUUGAGAGAAGGGAUGACACAGUAGGAUAAGCUAAGCACACUGUUGGUUAUGUGUGCCCAAGCAUUGAGGCAGUCAAAGUAGGCAA
rnacentral:rRNA from 1 species